UCUUAAGCGACAAAAUAUUUUCGUGUUCGUGGUGGAAUGUUGGUUGCAAAGGCAGCCUGCUCCGCGGGACAAACACACUCGUCAGCCAUCUUGCUGCCGUGCCGACGGUCAGGUCUUAGGUCUUGCCUUGGGAGAAGGAAUAUUAUUGAAGAAACGGAUAUUACCUCCUCAAAUCACUACAUCCUACUUCAUAAAACAGUUGCUGUGAUCUUGGCCAAUCCAUUUGAAGUUUUAUUUCUGAUACGUCACUUCUGAAGUCUUCACGUUAUGUUUGAGAGUAUGAGAUGAAUGUCGCAAUCCUUCUGAUCCUCAACAUUCAGAUAAUAUAAUGAAGAUCCUAGUUGCAGUAUUACGUCUGAGUUCAAAUGGUCGGUGCAGGAAGUAAACGCAAAGGAUUUCUGAAGUCUUCACGAUAUGUUUGAGGGUAUGAGAAGAUUGUCGCAGUCCUUCCGAGACUCAACGCUUAUAUUAUAUAAUGAAGACUAGAGUAGUUGGAGUAUUGUG